rnacentral:SRP_RNA from 1 species
UGACGGCCCCUCAUGUGGCGUCAUCCUGUUGAACUCCCCCAGGACCGGAAGGUAGCAAGGGUAAAUGGGCUCUGGCGGGUGCAUGGGGGGUCUUUACUAU